rnacentral:rRNA from 1 species
CAGUCGCCGCGGGAAUACGUAGGGUGCGAGCGUUAAUCGGAAUUACUGGGCGUAAAGCGUGCGCAGGCGGUUGUGUAAGACAGGUGUGAAAUCCCCGGGCUUAACCUGGGAACUGCGCUUGUGACUGCACAGCUAGAGUAUGGCAGAGGGGGGUGGAAUUCCACGUGUAGCAGUGAAAUGCGUAGAGAUGUGGAGGAACACCGAUGGCAAAGGCUGCCCCCUGGGCCAAUACUGACGCUCAUGCACGAAAGCGUGGGGAGCAAACAGGAUUAGAUACCCCCGUAGUCCCUGUCUCUUAUAC